CGGGCCACGAUUUUUCGAAAUAAACUUAAGUCUGAAGUUUUGACUUAAGUUAGAGUAUUACUCAAAUUUAAGAAAACGCAGGAAAUUGCAUUUCCCAGAUUAAACUGAAAUCGAUAUCAGACUCAAGCAUAGUUAACAAUUUGAGUUUGUCGGAUAGAUUACUUAAGUUGUUUGGGCAUUUUUAUUUUAAAAAUGUAGUUGAGUUAAAAAUUCAGCUGUUUCAAAUUGUCAAGCCCAGUUUGAUAUUUGAGCAAAAACUUAAGUUUGUUUCGAGAAAUCGGGGCCAGGAUCAGUAGUAGUA